rnacentral:rRNA from 1 species
GACGAACGCUGGCGGCGUGCUUAACACAUGCAAGUCGAGCGGUAAGGCCCUUUCGGGGGUACACGAGCGGCGAACGGGUGAGUAACACGUGGGUGACCUGCCCUCAGCUCUGGGAUAAGCCUGGGAAACCGGGUCUAAUACUGGAUAUGACUCCAUGACGCAUGUUGUGGGGUGGAAAGCCUUGUGCGGCUGAGGAUGGGCCCGCGGCCUAUCAGCUUGUUGGUGGGGUGAUGGCCUACCAAGGCGACGACGGGUAGCCGGCCUGAGAGGGCGACCGGCCAUACUGGGGCUGAGACACGGCCCAGACUCCUACGGGAGGCAGCAGUGGGGAAUCUUGCGCAAUGGGCGAAAGCCUGACGCAGCGACGCCGCGUGAGGGAUGACGGCCUGGU